UAUCAGUUUCAGCUACAAUAUGUCCAUAAUUAUCCACCUACACAAUGACCAUGUUCUUCCUGCUGGCACUUAUUUUGGUCCGAACAUCCUGUGUUACUUCUUCUUGGGUCCUUUCAAGGUGACAGUCUCUCCGGCAAGCUUUUCACUCUUGUCCUAGCAGGAGCUCUUAUAGAACUACGCCAUCGACUAGCAGAGUCUCCUCCACACAUACCCAAUCCCCCUAUUUCAAAAGAAGGUAUGCCACUGGAGUCAGCGUAUUCAGAUGAUUGUAACCUCAUGAACGUGGAAACAGAAUCCUGAGAAGCUAUCCUACCAAUAGCUAAGGAAGUCUUCAAGGAGUUUAACCUGUUCAUUAACACAGAGAAAACAGAAUUUACCCAUGUUUUCCUCGCUCCUGUUGGAGAAAAAAGAAGAAAGAAUUUGUUCAAGAUUAUUGUGAAUGAUUUGACCCGUAGAGGUUUAAAACUUAACUCUUUGAAUGAUCUUAAUAAGCUUAAGAUAUUAGCCGAUGAUAGAGUUGCUUGGAGAAACAAAUUUUAAUUCUAGCUGUCUUGAUCUGUACUGAUCACCAUUUUAGGAUGACUUGAUUUCUUUUAGGGGGUUUGAAUAUUUUAAUGGUGUAAACAGUUUCUUAAUAAUAAUAUGUUAUUUCUUCUGUCAGUGAGUUGGUGUUAAAAGAGCCAAACUUUGAAGGAACGUGUGCCAGGUAGAAAACACCAGGUAGAAAAGACCAAACACUCUCCUGAGUCCUGUAAACAGAAAGCAUGCGACAACAGUGGUGGUACUUGUGGCGAAGAGUGUGAAGUGAACCUAUCUGCCUAAUUAUUAAACGGAACUAGUCAAAGUGAGCCCUGUAGCGACGAACCUGUUUCUUCGGAUAGCGAAGUGUAAUGUCGAGUACUUCAUCUGAGAAUGGUUUCCCGUUUUAUAAAGAAAAUGUUACCUUUGAAGCGGUCUCGAACUUCCUACUCUCCCUCCUCUCGUCAGCUAGACAGUGUCCUAUUAUUUCUCUUGUGUUAAUUUUGUGAUAAAUUCUUUCAUGAGACCAUCUCAGUUUUUGUCUUUCUUAGUAGUAGACGCCACCGAGAAUGAAGACUAUUUAGUAGCGGGGUAAUGAAUUUUUGUCUCAUAUAAAUAUAAGUAACAUAGUAGUAGAUAUUUGUUUAUUGAUAUAAUUUGAUCGUGAAUUUUGAUUGUUUGUAUUAUUAUA